UUCCCUGCUUGACAGACCCCUUUUCGUACAAUGUCCUUGGCAUAAGUGGAAGUCUUCAAAUAUGGAAACUGGGAGUUCAUUCAUUAUGAUUUCUGGAGACUUCUGAUUUCGGGUCACCUGAAAACCCAUUUAUAUACCCGCCUUUCUGGUCUAUAUUUUACUAACAUGCUUUUCAGGUUUAAACCCAUGGAGAUUUCUGGCUCUAAAAGACGAAAUCUCUGCUCUUCAGCAAGGAGGAGAAAUAACAAGGAGAAGAAAGAAGAACCAAUGUCAGGCGGAAGGAUUCUAGGAGAUUGCCAGUGAAAUGCGUAUUGAAAUCUCUAUGAGACCGUGCUCCAGGAAUGUAAGGCAAACACAAAAACCGAUGUCUACAGACUACAAUUUAGCAGUAAUCGCAUUAGAAUCUCUGACUGGGAAUUCUCCUGGAGAGGCAAUGCAUGGUGUUGGUUUACCACAAUGGUGAACUUCAAUUGUGAAGGAAGAAUGGACAAUUGAAGUUUUUGAUGUCGAAAUACAUCUACAACAGGAGAUGAGUUGCUAAUACAUUGAAAUUAGCUUUACAUCAUGGUGAUCCGUUACCAGCCGCACGACCAGAAGUCCAACGACUGGAAGAAAUGAAACCUGAAUUUGCUUCCAGUUCUGGUGAUGAUAGUGGUGCUGAUGCUGGUGUUAGUGGCUCUGGUUAUGGUGCCGCACUGCCGCUAUCGUCCCCCCUUCAAAAUGACUGAGUAAAAUGAUUCUCUUAUCUCACCUUUUAGAAGUUUCUGUUAUUUUUCGUAGGACAUUAUAGACAUAAUAUUAGUGGUAGUGAGGCAUUUGUUCUUGAUGGGCUAUGGGUUUCAGACUUUACAUAUGCAGCAUACUCUGUUAACAAAUCUUGAUGGGUAAGCAUUUAUUCUGUCUUCUCUACUUUUAUACUUCUCUGUCAUCAAAUCAAAUACUGGUGGCUGUUUAGGUCUAUAUAUAUCACUACUGGUGGCUGGUGGUUGGAGACAAAUUCACUUGGAGAUGCUUCGUAUCUGACGAUUUCAUGACAUAAUCCACCGGCGAGAGUAAUUUGCUAUUGCUUUUAUCUCACCCACUUUGACAAUUCUAGUAGUAUAUAUCACUACUCCGAUGUUGCCUUAUCACAUAAUGUUGUGUGCAUUUGUGGAAGGCUGCAGAUUUUUUUCAGAAACGAGUGUAUGUUGUAGGGCCUACGGCCCAUCUAUAUAGUUAGGGUUCACCUUCCAUGUAUAUAAAGGAUAUUAUAGCUAUGUAAUAAGGUUGAUCCAUUAUCAAUAGAAAUUUCUCUUAUGUCUC